rnacentral:tRNA from 2 species
AUCCGCAUAGCUCAAAGGAUAGAGCAAAGCUCUUCUAAAGCUUCGGUUGAGAGUUCGAAUCUCUUUGCGGAUGCCA